UACGUAGGGGGCAAGCGUUGUCCGGAUUUAUUGGGCGUAAAGAGCUCGUAGGCGGUCUGUUGCGUCCGCUGUGAAAACCCGGGGCUCAACCCCGGGCCUGCAUUCGAUACGGGCAGACUAGAGUUCGGUAGGGGAGUCUGGAAUUCCUGGUGUAGCGGUGAAAUGCGCAGAUAUCAGGAGGAACACCGGUGGCGAAGGCGGGACUCUGGGCCGAUACUGACGCUGAGGAGCGAAAGCAUGGGGAGCAAACAGG
rnacentral:rRNA from 1 species